rnacentral:rRNA from 1 species
AGAGGAAGUAAAAGUCGUAACAAGGUUUCCGUAGGUGAACCUGCGGAAGGAUCAUUAUCGUACAAAAUGUGUGAGGCAUGCAAGGGCUGUCGCUGACUUUUUAAUCACAAAAAGUCGUGCACGCCGGAGCGUGUCCUCUCGCAUAAAAUCCAUCUCACCCUUUUGUGCACCACCGCGUGGGCACCCUUUGGGAUCGAACCGAUCCAGGAGGGCGCUUGCGUUUUCACACAAACCCCCUUNUAAAAGUGUAGAAUGACCCCAUUUUUGCGAUAACACGCAAUCAAUACAACUUUCAACAACGGAUCUCUUGGCUCUCGCAUCGAUGAAGAACGCAGCGAAAUGCGAUACGUAAUGUGAAUUGCAGAAUUCAGUGAAUCAUCGAAUCUUUGAACGCACCUUGCGCCCCUUGGUAUUCCGAGGGGCACACCCGUUUGAGUGUCGUGAAAAUCUCAACCUCCUCGGUUUCUUCUGGACGCCGAAGGAGGCUUGGACUUUGGAGGCCUUUGCUGGCGUCUCUCGCCAGCUCCUCUCAAAUGAAUUAGCGGGGUCCUCUUUGCCGAUCCUCGACGUGUGAUAAGAUGUUUCCAUGUCUUGGUUUCUGGCUCUGUCG